rnacentral:rRNA from 1 species
UACGAAGGGGGCUAGCGUUGUUCGGAAUUACUGGGCGUAAAGCGUGCGCAGGCGGCUUCUCAAGUCAGGGGUGAAAGCCCAGAGCUCAACUCUGGAAUUGCCUUUGAGACUGAGUGGCUUGAGUACGAGAGAGGUGAGUGGAAUUCCCAGUGUAGAGGUGAAAUGCGUAGAUAUCCGGAGGAACACCAAAGGCGAAGGCAGUGUCCUGGGAAGUACCUGACGCUCAGGUGCGAAAGCUAGGGGAGCGAACAGG